rnacentral:rRNA from 1 species
UACAGAGGGGGGCAAGCGUUUGUUCGGAAUUACUGGGCGUAAAGGGCGCGUAGGCGGCCUUCUAAGUCGAACGUGAAAUCCCCGGGCUCAACCCGGGAACUGCGUCCGAUACUGGAAGGCUUGAAUUCGGGAGAGGGAUGCGGAAUUCCAGGUGUAGCGGUGAAAUGCGUAGAUAUCUGGAGGAACACCGGGUGGCGAAGGCGGAUCUCUGGGCCAUUAUGACGCUGGAGGAGCGAAAAGCCGGU